GGUCAAGCGACUAAGCGUAUACGGUGGAUGCCUUGGCAGCUGGAGGCGAUGAAGGACGUAGGAGCCUGCGAAAAGUCUAGGGGAGCUGGCACACAAGCUUUGAUCCUGGAAUGUCCGAAUGGGGAAACCCACCUCUUAGGAGGUAUCGCAUACUGAAUACAUAGGUAUGCGAGGCGAACCCGGGGAACUGAAACAUCUAAGUACCCGGAGGAAAAGAAAUCAACCGAGAUUCCCUGAGUAGCGGCGAGCGAAAGGGGAUUAGCCCUUAAGCUCUUUAUGUUUUAGUGGAAGGUUCUGGAAAGUACCGCGAUACAGGGUGAUAGCCCCGUACACGAAAAGGCAUUUAGAGUGAAAUCGAGUAGGUCGGGACACGUGUUAUCUUGACUGAAUAUGGGGGGACCAUCCUCCAAGGCUAAAUACUCCCAGCUGACCGAUAGUGAACCAGUACCGUGAGGGAAAGGCGAAAAGAACCCCGGAGAGGGGAGUGAAAUAGAACCUGAAACCGUAUACGUACAAGCAGUAGGAGCCCUUCGGGGUGACUGCGUACCUUUUGUAUAAUGGGUCAGCGACUUAUUGUCUGUAGCAAGGUUAACCGCAUAGGGGAGCCGUAGAGAAAUCGAGUCUUAAUAGGGCGUUUAGUUGCAGGCAAUAGACCCGAAACCCGGCGAUCUAUCCAUGGGCAGGUUGAAGGUUGAGUAACAUCAACUGGAGGACCGAACCCACUAAUGUUGAAAAAUUAGGGGAUGACCUGUGGAUCGGAGUGAAAGGCUAAUCAAGCCGGGAGAUAGCUGGUUCUCCUCGAAAGCUAUUUAGGUAGCGCCUCGCGUCUCACCCUCGGGGGUAGAGCACUGUUUGGGCUAGGGGGUCAUCCCGACUUACCAACCCCAUGCAAACUCCGAAUACCGAGGAGUGCAAUCGCGGGAGACACACGGCGGGUGCUAACGUCCGUCGUGGAAAGGGAAACAACCCAGACCGCCAGCUAAGGUCCCAAAUACCAGUUAAGUGGGAAACGAUGUGGGAAGGCCCAGACAGCUAGGAGGUUGGCUUAGAAGCAGCCAUCCUUUAAAGAAAGCGUAAUAGCUCACUAGUCGAGUCGGCCUGCGCGGAAGAUAUACCGGGGCUCAAACUGGUAACCGAAGCUGCGGAUGCUCUUAGGAGCAUGGUAGAGGAGCGUUCUGUAAGCCGUUGAAGGUGAACCGGGAGGUUUGCUGGAGGUAUCAGAAGUGCGAAUGCUGACAUGAGUAACGACAAGGGGGGUGAAAAACC
rnacentral:ncRNA from 1 species